AAAAAAAAAAAAUGAGUUUAAUGUGAUUGUAGAAAGAGUGCAGUUUUACAAAUGACCUCAUUUGGUUUGCAGUUCCCCCACACUGAUGUCAGUCCAGCAACAGAGACGUAGCCAUUCCCCACCACUCCUCAAUCCCUCAGCCCGCGAGCUAGAAACUGAAACAGAAAAGGCACCGAGCAUGGAUGUGAACAGAGCUGGAGGAGACCCAAGGAGGGAGGCGGAAACGACAUCCCGACAAAGCCCCGGCGGAUGGUCAAUGCCGGGACCAUGUUUUAAAACAAGAAAAACAUCGGAGUGUAACAAAAAUGCCUUUUCUGUUCUAUGACUUAGGAUGCUGUUUUUUUUUUUUUUAACAAGAUGAUGUUUUCAUACCAGGACCAGAAUUUAAACUGACAACAAUUAAAAGCAAACAUUUAUUUUUGUUUUAUUUUUUGUUUCAUAAAAGAUGUCUGUACAGAUUUGUGUUUUCUGUUCUUAAUUUUUUUAAAAAAGUAUCAAAACCUUCCCAUCUCCAAACAUAUUUACAGGUGGUUUUUUUUCUUUUUUGAUGUCAAAUGAUGGGUACCAACGUGGUUUCCAGCUGAUCCUGGGCCAUGCACAUGGUGAAUGGCCUUAGAGAAUAGAGGCUUCCUGGACUUACUCCAAGGACUGGAAAACCUAAACAGGUCUGACGGUCACCUCUUUGGAGGUCCUGUGACUUCCAAAGGACCCGAGUUGAAAAAGACAACGGAUGCCUCACUUUAGCUACGCUACCUUUGUGCAUUGGUGGGGGAAAGGAGUGAUUUACUCUGGGACUCUAUGCCGGCUGACUCCUUGCUAUUCCCUAAGAUGAUGGGCUGACUGACCUUCAUGAAAUAUGACUGGGGUUCGUCUCCCAAUGAUGACCUGGAGCCCCCAUGUUCUUCAAUAUUCCAGAAUUUCAGAGGGACACGGAGACCUCCCCCUAACCUCUGUCCACUCACUUUUAUUGUUCUUGCCUGUGUCUUAGAAUUUGGAUUUAUGGAUGUGAAAAGUGCUGCGGGCCUCCCCUGCUCCCACUGGUGUAGACAGAGCUUUCGACUGAACAGGGAGAUGUCUGCAAAGCAGGGGAGCGCCUGAGGAUGUCUACACCCCGGCGGGUUGGGGAUGGUGGACAUGGCUCUGGAUAAAAUACCAGCUAAGAAGUACACAGAGCACUGGGGUGAGAACAUGGCCAGCAGAUGCUGCCAGGGCCACCUCACCCCGAGCUCUCAUCGUCGAGAUGAGUCCUGAGGCCCGAGGAAUUCAUUUCGAGCAUCGCCCAUGCAACCAGCACCAGACAUGUGAACUCGGGCCUUUUGCUUUCAAGGGUCUCGCUCCACGCCUCUGGCUUUUGGCAGCCAGCAGCGUGUCUACAAAAUGUCAGGGAACUGAAUAUCUCUGGAUCAGACUCCUCAGUAUUGGGGACACGAUUUGGGCAUCUUUCCUUGAGCCCCGGCUGAGUGUAAAGGGGCAAAAGAUACUUACAUUGUGUGCUGGAGGAUGAGGAGAAAGAAGUAGUUAGAGCAUUUAAUGACUAGUCAGGACACUGAAACUCGGGUUUUUUGUUUGUUUUGCUGCUGAGGCAAUUGGGGUUAAGUGACUUGCCCAGGGUCACACAGCUAGGAAGUGUUAAGUGAUUGAGGCUAGAUUUGAACUCGGGUCUUCCUGCCUUCAGGGUUGGUGCUCUAUAUUCACUGGGCCACCCAGCUGCCCCAACUCUGGGUGGUUUUUUUGGCUGAAUCACCAUAAAUUUGAAUCUCAACCAGAUUUCCCAUCUGGGCUGGCAUCAUGCUUGGGAAGUGAGAUGUUGCCCCAGAUUUCCAGUGCAGACAAGUCUCUUUAAGGAACAGAGGGGGUUGGUGCAACUCUGAGGAUGCCAAAGAAGGGCCAGAAUCGAGAAUACGCAAGAUCUCAGACCUGAGCUACAAAGGACGGAGCCCAACUGUGUUCUCGGUCAAGGGGACCAAAGUUCGGAAAAGAAGGCAUCGAAGAUCAGAAAACCAAUAGCAAGAGCAGGAUUCAAAUCCAGGCUCUUUAAAGUUGAGGACUGUUGCCUCCCAUGUUGCUCCUCCCUUUCCCCCAAGACAAAGGGGCUGGAAUAGAAGAACAUCAAGGUUCUUUCUUCAGAUGUAAAAUUCAAGGUUCUAAAACCCGCGACAGAAGCUCGUUCUCUUAACCUUGAAUAUUUUGCUGGUGAUAAAGGGCAGAUUCAAGUAGUGUGUGUUAGAAAGGAGCUCUACCUGGCCUACUCUCGUCAACUGCAAACCUCUGGGUCUCCGUCCCAAGGGCAAGAUGAUAAACACGGGGCACACAGACGAUGGUCUAGGCCCAUGGUUGGGCUGGCUGUUCUAGGCCCAGUACAAUCUAGAACCCCCAGGGCCUGGCAGGGUCCUCUCUGAGGUACGUGAAGCCCUGCCAUGGCCGGUCAAUGAGGUCAGUGGGUGACAAGAGAGAGCAGGAACGGUAACUCAUUGGACAAAGUCAAGAAAAGUCCAGACCAGUGGAGAAUAGAAGUAGGGGCUUAAUCCCCCCCCACUGGCAGGGCAGGGAAGGGGCUAGUGGGUAAUGGACUCUCACAACAAAGGACUUCCCUAUACCAGUGCAAUCCUUGGAUUUGAGUCUCAGCUCCGUGAGCUGCAUGGCCACAGACUUGUCACUUCCUCUGUGCCUCAGUUCUCCCAUUUAGGAAAUAAUAAUGGCCGAUCACUUUAGAGUGCUUCAGGGUAUGCAAAGGUGCUCACUGAGCCAAACAUCACCCAAGAAGGAAAGGAGGCCUGUCCUCACUGCCUUACUGGAUGAAACCGAGGCUCAGAGAGGGGGCUGGCUUGUCCAGUCAUACGACUAGUAAGAAAAAGGGAAGGAAACAAACAUUUAUUAGGCACCUACUGUGUGCCAGACUGUGCUAAGGGCUUUCAUUUUGUGGUUUUGUUUCCUUAUGUAAUGGUUCUAGAUCUAUGGUAUUAUGUGGAAGUCAUUUAACCUCUCCUCAGAGUCCAUUUCCUUUUCUACAAAAAGGAAAGGCAGAACUCCAUGACCUCCGAGAUUCCUCCUAGCUCCAAAUAACGUUGUCAUUAGAGCUACAAAGAGACUCUGAUCACUAGCCCCACUUCCUGUUUCAGAGGGGAUACUGAGGCUCACACAAGAAGUACUGGAGCCGGAAUUCAAACUCAAGGUCUUGAGCAUAUCCAGGAUUAUUCCUGGUCUCCAGUAACUGAAGGGUCAGGCUCCCCUUCCAAAGAACCAAGGAUCUUUGGUUCCUUCAGCUGCAUCCCCCCCAUCCCAGCACAGAGCUAGACCCCUCCCUGGGCGCCAACAAUCCGCAGGUGACCAGAGCAGGGAGGAAGGAGGCACUGCACAAAGCCUGCAUUCUGGGAGGGCCCCAGUGCCUGAUGGAGAAAAGCACGUCCGACAGCCGCAGAGAUACAAUCACCUGGAAGAGGGCCAUCCUAGAAGGAAAAUCACAAACACCUCCCCCUGCCAUGGGACGUCUGCUCCAGACUUGCAAAAGGACCUAAAUUUGACUUGUUAAAGGAAGUGCCCCAACAUAGUCCCAGCUCUGAGACUGACUGGGAAGUAAACCCUCUGAGGGGCAGGACCACAGGCCCUCUGGGGGCAGGACUGUCUCUUUGUAUUUGCAUGGCAGUCACUGGACAGCACUUGGCAUUUAAUAAGUGCAUUGACUGACAGUCUGGUUCUCAACAGAUCCCCGCCAGGUUUCCUCCUCUAUGAAAUAAUACUGUGAUCAGCUGCACAAGGGGCCUGGAUGAUGAUAACGGGGACAGACAAGAGCACUGACCCUGCCAGCUGAGGAGCCGAAUCACAGACUCAGAGAGGGGGAGGGUGGAACAGCGCCUCAGAACAUAGACUGUCAAAACGUAAAAUGGCAAGGACGCAAGGGCCUUCGGGAUAGAAAACAAUUCAGAGCACAGAAUGUCAGAGCUGAGGGCCUUAGGACAGGAAAUGUCAGGGCUAGAAGAGGCCUUAGAACAGGGGAUGUCAGAGAGGGGAAGGAACCUAGAAUAGGAGAUGUCAGAGCUGGAAGGGAACCUAGAAUGGAUGUCAAAGCUGGCACAGGCCUUAGAACAGGGGGUGCCAGAGCUGGGAUG
ensembl:lncRNA